AGGGGAGGCGCCCAAGAGGGUGUCAACGCCGGAGUAUUUGCAAGACUUGCAGUAAACAACGCCUUGCACCGCUACAAAGCUUCUUGGGAAAGGUUUCUUAGGCGGGAACUGCGGAGGGUGAACCGGGGGGUGGCUUGGGCUCUGAAUCGGUGGGUGAGCCGGUGGUGCAUGGUGGGUUGGAGGGUGACUCGGGGGUUGAACUGGGACGUGAGUAGGAGGGUGAGCCGGUGGGUAGCCAUGGUGGUGGUGGUGGCUUGGUGGGUGGACCGGGGAAUGGGUUGGAGGGUGAACUGGUGAAUGGGUUGGAGGGUGGACCGGUGAAUGGGUUGGAGAGUGAACCGGUGGGUGAACCGGGGAGGCAGUAGGAGGGUGUGGGUGUGGGUGUGGGUGGUGGUGGUGGUGGUGGUGUGUUGGUGGGUGUGCAGGGGAAGCUACUGGGUGUGAAUAGUGAACAUGGUGGUGGGGAGGAGAGCUUGGGGGUAAAACAUCAAUUACAUUUCCAAACACAGUGAAGCAACUCAGUAGAAGAACUGAGAGCUGCACAAAGACUAGAGCUUUAGCUUCACCAAAACCCAUAUUUUCUUUC
rnacentral:lncRNA from 1 species